GCCAGAAGCUCGCUCACUGCAACCCUCACGUGGUUGGCCACUGAAGCUAAGCAGGGCUGCGCCUGGUCAGUACCUGGAUGGGAGACCACAUGGGAAAGCUAGGUUGCUGCCGGAA
rnacentral:rRNA from 1 species